AUAGGACAAGACCUGUCAGAAGUGAUCAAGAAAUUCAAGCCUCAGUCAAACAACACCUCAGGGUAAUUUACAGCUUUUCCAGCCGUCAGCUGUGCCAGGAUCACCUCCUUCCUCUGUACUUAGCUCCCACCAGACCUGUUUGGGUAAUGCCCUGCACCCACUGACAGCCUGGGGACACACAGGUGAUUUUUAUGUUGGCCUUGAAGGUUGUCACCUGGUGGCACUCAUCCAAAGUGAGGAUUUUUCACACUUGACCAGGCAAUACUUUGGUUUUCAGGACUCAACACCAAGUGCCUGCACAGUGAUGAAGAGGGAUUGGCCCUGGGCUGUGUCGUGGACAGUAUGUGGGGUGAGAAGCAGGAGACAGGAGCAUCACCAUCAGGACAUGUCAGCACGGACAUCACAAAUUCAGCCCUGGGCAGAGUUUGUUGGCCUGGAGCACUGAAGGCUGUACAGACGUGUUUUUGUUGGCAGGUUGGUGUAAGGGAAACCCUGG
ensembl:lncRNA